CGCUAGCUACAGGCUUAACACAUGCAAGUCGAGGGGCAGCAUGGUCUUAGCUUGCUAAGGCCGAUGGCGACCGGCGCACGGGUGAGUAACACGUAUCCAACCUGCCGUCUACUCUUGGACAGCCUUCUGAAAGGAAGAUUAAUACAAGAUGGCAUCAUGAGUCCACAUGUUCACAUGAUUAAAGGUAUUCCGGUAGACGAUGGGGAUGCGUUCCAUUAGAUAGUAGGCGGGGUAACGGCCCACCUAGUCUUCGAUGGAUAGGGGUUCUGAGAGGAAGGUCCCCCACAUUGGAACUGAGACACGGUCCAAACUCCUACGGGAGGCAGCAGUGAGGAAUAUUGGUCAAUGGGCGAGAGCCUGAACCAGCCAAGUAGCGUGAAGGAUGACUGCCCUAUGGGUUGUAAACUUCUUUUAUAAAGGAAUAAAGUCGGGUAUGCAUACCCGUUUGCAUGUACUUUAUGAAUAAGGAUCGGCUAACUCCGUGCCAGCAGCCGCGGUAAUACGGAGGAUCCGAGCGUUAUCCGGAUUUAUUGGGUUUAAAGGGAGCGUAGAUGGAUGUUUAAGUCAGUUGUGAAAGUUUGCGGCUCAACCGUAAAAUUGCAGUUGAUACUGGAUAUCUUGAGUGCAGUUGAGGCAGGCGGAAUUCGUGGUGUAGCGGUGAAAUGCUUAGAUAUCACGAAGAACUCCGAUUGCGAAGGCAGCCUGCUAAGCUGCAACUGACAUUGAGGCUCGAAAGUGUGGGUAUCAAACAGGAUUAGAUACCCUGGUAGUCCACACGGUAAACGAUGAAUACUCGCUGUUUGCGAUAUACAGCAAGCGGCCAAGCGAAAGCGUUAAGUAUUCCACCUGGGGAGUACGCCGGCAACGGUGAAACUCAAAGGAAUUGACGGGGGCCCGCACAAGCGGAGGAACAUGUGGUUUAAUUCGAUGAUACGCGAGGAACCUUACCCGGGCUUAAAUUGCAGAUGAAUUACGGUGAAAGCCGUAAGCCGCAAGGCAUCUGUGAAGGUGCUGCAUGGUUGUCGUCAGCUCGUGCCGUGAGGUGUCGGCUUAAGUGCCAUAACGAGCGCAACCCUUGUUGUCAGUUACUAACAGGUCAUGCUGAGGACUCUGACAAGACUGCCAUCGUAAGAUGUGAGGAAGGUGGGGAUGACGUCAAAUCAGCACGGCCCUUACGUCCGGGGCUACACACGUGUUACAAUGGGGGGUACAGAGGGCCGCUACCACGCGAGUGGAUGCCAAUCCCAAAAACCUCUCUCAGUUCGGACUGGAGUCUGCAACCCGACUCCACGAAGCUGGAUUCGCUAGUAAUCGCGCAUCAGCCACGGCGCGGUGAAUACGUUCCCGGGCCUUGUACACACCGCCCGUCAAGCCAUGGGAGCCGGGGGUACCUGAAGUGCGUAACCGCGAGGAGCGCCCUAGGGUAAAACUGGUGACAGG
rnacentral:rRNA from 1 species